UGAACUUAAGCAUAUCAAUAAAAANGAGGAA
rnacentral:rRNA from 1 species